GAUUACGGUCGAGGCCAACCGUUUCACCUGCAGCUUCGAUGCAAACGGCGUCGUAAUCUCUCUUACGCGAAGCGGAAGGAUCAAAGUAUCUGAACACGGAAAAGUUUUUGCAGAUACACGGAAUUUGCUGCACCUGAAUGUUGCUGCAUGCCUUCUAAAGUUGGGAGAAUGCAAAAAGUCCAUUGAGAGUUGCAAUAAGGUGGUACCUUUUUGAAGAGACAGCAUUGUGCCUUUGGACUGGUGUCUUGUAUAUUUCAUACCUGAAGGCUCACAUUACAAGGGUUUGGUGGCAGGAUGCAAUCACAAUACUACUAUUGAUUACUCUUUCAAUGUGUCUUGUCUUUCUUCUCCUCCUACUUCUAGUUCAUAGGUAAUUCUAGUAAUUCUGUAUCCCAAUUUUUGUAUCUAGCAUAAGAUUGCUUUUUUGUAUAGGU